GUGAGGAAUAUUGCGCAAUGGAGGCAACUCUGACGCAGCCAUGCCGCGUGCAGGAAGAAGGCGCUACGCGUUGUAAACUGCUUUUAACCGGGAAGAAACCCCAGGACGUGUCCUGGGUUGACGGUACCGGAGGAAUAAGCACCGGCUAACUUCGUGCCAGCAGCCGCGGUAAUACGAAGGGUGCAAGCGUUAUCCGGAUUCAUUGGGUUUAAAGGGUGCGUAGGCGGAGCGUUAAGUCAGUGGUGAAAUCCUGCAGCUUAACUGUAGACUUGCCAUUGAUACUGGCGCUCUUGAGUGCGCUUGAAGUGGGCGGAAUGUGCCGUGUAGCAGUGAAAUGCUUAGAUAUGGCACAGAACACCAAUUGCGAAGGCAGCUCACUAAGGCGAUACUGACGCUGAGGCACGAAAGCGUGGGGAUCGAACAGGAUUAGAAACCCUUGUAGUCC
rnacentral:rRNA from 1 species